CGCCUUAUACUCCUACGGGAGGCAGCAGUGGGGAAUUUUGGACAAUGGGGGCAACCCUGAUCCAGCAAUGCCGCGUGCAGGAAGAAGGCCUUCGGGUUGUAAACUGCUUUUGUACGGAACGAAACGGUCUGGGUUAAUACCCUGGGCUAAUGACGGUACCGUAAGAAUAAGCACCGGCUAACUACGUGCCAGCAGCCGCGGUAAUACGUAGGGUGCAAGCGUUAAUCGGAAUUACUGGGCGUAAAGCGUGCGCAGGCGGUUUUGUAAGACAGUCGUGAAAUCCCCGGGCUCAACCUGGGAAUGGCGAUUGUGACUGCAAAGCUAGAGUGCGGCAGAGGGGGAUGGAAUUCCGCGUGUAGCAGUGAAAUGCGUAGAUAUGCGGAGGAACACCGAUGGCGAAGGCAAUCCCCUGGGCCUGCACUGACGCUCAUGCACGAAAGCGUGGGGAGCAAACAGGAUUAGAAACCCGGGUAGUCCACGUACCA
rnacentral:rRNA from 1 species